rnacentral:rRNA from 1 species
UACGUAGGGGGCAAGCGUUGUCCGGAUUUAUUGGGCGUAAAGAGCGUGUAGGCGGCCUGACAGGUCUGCUGUGAAAACUCGAGGCUCAACCUCGAGAUGUCGGCGGAAACCGUCUGGCUAGAGUCCGGAAGAGGAGAGUGGAAUUCCUGGUGUAGCGGUGAAAUGCGCAGAUAUCUGGAGGAACACCGGUGGCGAAGGCGGCAUCCUGGACCGGUAUUGACGCUGAUGCGCGAAAGCCAGGGGAGCAAACGGG